AUAACAUGAUGAGGGUACUUCCUUAAUAGUUCCUUGAAUCUCUCCCAUGCAUUAUACAAUGAUUUCCCAUAUAUAUGACAAAAAUUAUUAAUUUCUCCCCUUAACUU